rfam:Halobacillus sp. BBL2006 cont192, whole genome shotgun sequence.
AAAGCCUUCAAGGGGAGCCUUCCGGCUGAGAGUGAACAUGGUUCAGACCCUUCGAACCUGUCAGUUAAUACUGGCGUAGGGAUGGUGGCUUUUUUGAUG